rnacentral:lncRNA from 1 species
CUAUCUUGGAAUAUGGCUUUGAAGUGCAAGACCAUCCAUAAUUCCGUACUGCAGAGAGCAUUUGUUUGACCAACCUAUGAACCACCGCGAGAGAUGCUGGCACAGAUACGUUGUCUUGGUAUGCUCUGUUUUUUGGAUCUAAGGUCAAUCUGAGAGAACAGAUUCCCUGCUCAUGGGCAUGAUGAAUAGACCAGCACAGAUUUAUCUCUUAUUACCACAUAGGGGUGCUUGCUUCUUUCUACGUUAUAAAUUCUUUGCUGGCUGCUAUGUCCCUCACUCUUAUGGGGGAAGGAUGGUCUUUGCAGGCUUUUCUGCCUUUUUAGCAGAAAAGGCUGUCUGAGAUCUGCUAAUGGAACAGUACAACCACCUGACAGCUCACCCUUGGCAGGACUUGGCACUCUGCAAGAAUUCAGUGUUCUCCUUCAUAAACUCUGAAAGAAGAGCUCUAAAGAAAGUGUCAUAUUCAGACACUACUCCCCCUCACACCCCACCCGAGAGCUCCAACACCUCAUUAGACGGUAACUUUAACAGCAGGGAGGAAUAAUGGGCUUCUGAAGAUUGCCAAUGAGCAAAGAAUAGGCCUAUGGUUGCUGUGCCAGCAUGGAAAUCCAAGAAUGUGGAUACGAUCCAGCUCUUCCACAAACUUUUGUUUUGCACUUAGGCAAGCAAGCAUCGCUCCAACUCCUUCUGCAGUCAAUGGAACAACUCCAGUUGACAGCUCGAACUGGUUGUAUCCCUGCCUCCUUGGAUCAACCUCAGCAAGAGGGAGAUAUACCAGUGUGGGCCCAGCUGUUGUCAGAUGCAGCAAUCAAGUGCCUGGCUCUCAAGGUACUUAGAGCAGCAGUAGCACCUUGUAUUCCAGGCAUGUGUGGCUCUAAAUUCAAGCUUGCACCUGAACAGCUCCCUCGCCUGGCAAGAGCAGUCUGUUCCUUCCCAUCGUCAGCUCUUUUCGUGGAUCACAGGCUCGUCUUCUGCCCAGCAACAGUUUGCAGCAAGUUUAAUGUAAGCAUCUUAUCCUGAGAUCAGCAGCAGGAGCUUACAGCGUGAUUUGCAAGGAAAAAAGCUUUACGAAGAUUAAAACGCCUUUAGAUGUCUGACACUGGGGCCCCAUACUGGCAGCAUCACACGAGAUGCAACUUUUAAGCAGUUUAAGCAAGGCAUGUUUUUGUUUUACAAAGGCAGCACGCAGUCUGUUAUUAUUAAUAUUUUGCACGAGAGACGUGGCAGUUUCCCAGUGCUAUGCCAAACAAUACAAUUUGAUUGCUUCUGCCUCUUGUCAAGCCUCCAACUGUAAAUAUGCAACGUGAAACGAAGUCCAACCCGACAGAUAAGGGUGUGCUGAGAUAGAUAGUUACAAAAAUACCAGCAUAAUUAAGGAUUGGUAUCAAUACCAGAAACAAAAUAAGCCCAGAGUUUUGAAGGUUCAAUUAACACUGCGGGAUUGUAAGACUACC